rnacentral:misc_RNA from 1 species
UUUCCGUAGGUGAACCUGCGGAAGGAUCAUUAAAAAAUUGGACUCCAUUGGUGAGUUCAUUAAUAAUCCUACCCUUUGUGAAUUUGUUUGUUUGAAUAAUUUUUUUUCCAAAAAAAAUUAUUGAAUGUCUUUCCCUGUUUUGGUGGAGCUUGUAAAGUGAAACCAGGCAGGGGAAUGGCAAACGAUAAUUAUUUUUGAAAAAGACCUUUUUUUAAAAUUAAACUUUUUGUAUUCAUUUGUCUAAAAUUAUUUUUAUAAUAUAAAAACAACUUUUGACAAUGGAUCUCUUGGUUCUCGCAACGAUGAAGAACGCAGCAAAAUGCGAUAAGUAGUGUGAAUUGCAGAAUACGUGAAUCAUCGAAUCUUCGAACGCAUAUUGCACUUUUUUAGUUUACUAAAAAAGUAUGUCUGUUUGAGUAUCAGUAAAAUAUUCUCAUAAAAAAUUUAUUUUUUUAUGGUUAUGAGUGUUUUACAACGAUAACAAGUUGUUUCACUUUAAAUUCUUUGUUAUCAAAAAAAUCAUUAAAAGCUAAUUUUAAAGAUUUUUUAAAAUUGGAUAAAAUUUUCCCGUAAAAAGGAAUAACCUAAACAAUUUUAAAAAAAUUAAAAUUGGUUUGAUUUUUUUUGAUAACAAAGGAAAAAAAACGAAAAUUAACUUGAUCUCAAAUCAGAUAAGAGUACCCGCUGAACUUAAGCAUAUCAAUAAGCGGAGGAAAAGAAACUAACUAGGAUUCCCUCAGUAACGGCGAGUGAAGCGGGAAGAGCUCAAAUUUGAAAUCUCCAAGGUUUUACCUUGACGAAUUGUAGUUUAAAGAAGUGUUUUCUGUUGGAGUUUUGGUAAAAGUUCUUUGGAAAAGGACAUCAUAGAGGGUGAGAAUCCCGUAUUUGACCAUUAUCUCCAGCUUUGUGAUACACUUUCAAAGAGUCGGAUUGUUUGGGAAUGCAGUCCAAAAUGGGUGUAAAUUUCAUCUAAAGCUAAAUACUGGCGAGAGACCGAUAGCGAACAAGUACCGUGAGGGAAAGAUGAAAAGAACUUUGAAAAGAGAGUUAAACAGUACGUGAAGUUGUCAAAAGGGAAGCGUUUGACACCAGUGUUGUUUUCUCGAAAAUCAAUUAAAAAAGGCCGGAUUUUGUGUUGUAUUGACUUUAUCAGCUUUCUGCACUUUUUUCUUGUCUUUUUUAAUGCACUUUUCGUUUAACAAGUCAACAUCAAUUUCUUUUGUUGUAAAAGGGUCAUUGGAAGGUGGCUUUCUUUUCGGAGAAAGUGUUUUUUAGCCUUUGGCCUCUGCAAUCGGAGAGAUUGAGGUCUGCAGCGUAGAUCCUUCGGGGUUAGAUACAUUUGUGCUAAGUUAUAGCCUUUCAUAGACAACUUGUUGACUAUGAUCAGUCAUGUAGCUUACUCGCUUAUGCUAUUUUACCUACGCUUAGGAUGUUG